CCUACGGGAGGCAGCAGUGGGGGAUAUUGGACAAUGGGGGAAACCCUGAUCCAGCGACGCCGCGUGAGUGAAGAAGUAUUUCGGUAUGUAAAGCUCUGUCAGCAGGGAAGAAAGAAAUGACGGUACCUGACCAAGAAGCCCAGGCUAACUACGUGCCAGCAGCCGCGGUAAUACGUAGGGGGCAAGCGUUAGCCGGAAUUACUGGGUGUAAAGGGAGCGUAGACGGUGAUGCAAGACUGGAGUGAAAGGCGGGGGCCCAACCCCCGGACUGCUCUGGAAACUGUGUAACUUGAGUGCAGGAGAGGUGAGCAGAAUUCCAAGUGUAGCGGGGAAAUGCGUAGAUAUUAGGAGGAACACCAGUGGCGAAGGCGGCUUACUGGACUAUAACUGACGUUGAGGCUCGAAAGCGUGGGGAGCAAACAGGAUUAGAUACCCGAGUAGUC
rnacentral:rRNA from 1 species